rnacentral:rRNA from 1 species
GACGAACGCUGGCGGCGUGCUUAACACAUGCAAGUCGAACGGAUUGCUUGGUGCUUGCACUGAGUGGUUAGUGGCGAACGGGUGAGUAACACGUGAGUAACCUGCCCCCUUCUUUGGGAUAAGCACCUGAAAGGGUGUCUAAUACUGAUUAUUCUGCUGGAAUCGCAUGGUGUUGGUUGGAAAGGUUUUUCUGGUGGGGGAUGGGCUCGCGGCUUAUCAGCUUGUUGGUGGGGUAAUGGCUUACCAAGGCUUUGACGGGUAACCGGCCUGAGAGGGUGACCGGUCACAUUGGGACUGAGAUACGGCCCAGACUCCUACGGGAGGCAGCAGUGGGGAAUAUUGCACAAUGGACGAAAGUCUGAUGCAGCGACGCCGCGUGAGGGAUGAAGGCCUUCGGGUUGUAAACCUUUUUCGCUUUUGGCCAAGGCGGCAUUUUGGUGUUGUUGAGGGUAUGGGGUAAAGAAGCUCCGGCUAACUACGUGCCAGCAGCCGCGGUAACAC